UAAGUACUCCCUCCUUUCGGAAUUACUUGUCGCGGAAAUGGAUGUAUCUAGAUGUAUUUUAGUUCUAGAUACAUUCAUUUCCGAGACAAGUAAUUCCGAACGGAGGGAGUAGCUA
rnacentral:pre_miRNA from 1 species